UACGAAGGGGGCUAGCGUUGUUCGGAAUCACUGGGCGUAAAGCGCAUGCAGGCGGAUUGUUAAGUCGGGGGUGAAAUCCCGAGGCUCAACCUCGGAACUGCCUUCGAUACUGGCAAUCUUGAGUCCGGGAGAGGUGAGUGGAACUGCGAGUGUAGAGGUGAAAUUCGUAGAUAUUCGCAAGAACACCAGUGGCGAAGGCGGCUCACUGGCCCGGUACUGACGCUGAGGAGCGAAAGCGUGGUAGCGAACAGG
rnacentral:rRNA from 1 species